rnacentral:tRNA from 1 species
GAGCCCAUAGCUCAGUUGGCAGAGCAGUAGACUUUUAAUCUAUUGGUCGGGAGUUCGAGUCUCCCUGGGCUCA